rnacentral:rRNA from 1 species
GAUCCUGGCUCAGGAUGAACGCUGGCGGCGUGCCUAACACAUGCAAGUCGAACGAAGCACCUUACCGGAUUCUUCGGAUGAAAGUUUGGUGACUGAGUGGCGGACGGGUGAGUAACGCGUGGGUAACCUGCCCUGUACAGGGGGAUAACAGUUGGAAACGGCUGCUAAUACCGCAUAAGCGCACGAGAGGACAUCCUCUUGUGUGAAAAACUCCGGUGGUACAGGAUGGGCCCGCGUCUGAUUAGCUGGUUGGCAGGGUAACGGCCUACCAAGGCAACGAUCAGUAGCCGGUCUGAGAGGAUGAACGGCCACAUUGGAACUGAGACACGGUCCAAACUCCUACGGGAGGCAGCAGUGGGGAAUAUUGCACAAUGGGGGAAACCCUGAUGCAGCAACGCCGCGUGAGUGAAGAAGUAUUUCGGUAUGUAAAGCUCUAUCAGCAGGGAAGAUAAUGACGGUACCUGACUAAGAAGCUCCGGCUAAAUACGUGCCAGCAGCCGCGGUAAUACGUAUGGAGCAAGCGUUAUCCGGAUUUACUGGGUGUAAAGGGUGCGUAGGUGGCAGUGCAAGUCAGAUGUGAAAGGCCGGGGCUCAACCCCGGAGCUGCAUUUGAAACUGCUCGGCUAGAGUACAGGAGAGGCAGGCGGAAUUCCUAGUGUAGCGGUGAAAUGCGUAGAUAUUAGGAGGAACACCAGUGGCGAAGGCGGCCUGCUGGACUGUUACUGACACUGAGGCACGAAAGCGUGGGGAGCAAACAGGAUUAGAUACCCUGGUAGUCCACGCCGUAAACG